CCUACGGGAGGCAGCAGUAGGGAAUAUUGGGCAAUGGAGGCAACUCUGACCCAGCCAUGCCGCGUGAACGAAGAAGGCGCUAUGCGUCGUAAAGUUCUUUUAGAGGGGGCGAAAACACUUGAUUCAUCAAGUACUGACGGUACCUUCGGAAUAAGCACCGGCUAACUCUGUGCCAGCAGCCGCGGUAAUACAGAGGGUGCAAGCGUUAUCCGGAAUCACUGGGUUUAAAGGGUGCGUAGGCGGGAUUAUGAGUCAGAGGUGAAAUCUCGUCGCUUAACGACGGAAUUGCCUUUGAUACUGUUUUUCUUGAAAUUUGUUGAGGUUGGCGGAAUGAGACAUGUAGCGGUGAAAUGCUUAGAUAUGUCUUAGAACACCGAUUGCGAAGGCAGCUGACUGGACAAUAUUUGACGCUGAGGCACGAAAGCGUGGGGAUCAAACAGGAUUAGAUACCCUGGUAGUCCACGCCCUAAACGAUGUUUACUUGCUGUUUGUUUUUCGGAAUUGAGUGGGUGAGAGAAGAGAGUAAGUAAACCGACCGUAGGGAGGUACGGCCGCCGAAGGUAGGUAAACGUUAAAGGUUAAAGUUAGUUACGGCGUGAGACGUUGCGACGGACGACGACGAGGGAGGAGG
rnacentral:rRNA from 1 species